rnacentral:rRNA from 1 species
CCUACAUGAAGUCGGAAUUGCUAGUAAUCGCGGAUCAGCAUGCCGCGGUGAAUACGUUCCCGGGUCUUGUACACACCGCCCGUCACACCACGAGAGUUUACAACACCCGAAGUCGGUGAGGUAACCGUAAGGAGCCAGCCGCCGAAGGUGGGGUAGAUGAUUGGGGUGAAGUCGUAACAAGGUAGCCGUAUCGGAAGGUGCGGCUGGAUCACCUCCUUUCUAUGGAGA